AUGCAAAUGAACACUGUCAUUGCUACAACGGUGUGGAACUUCGAUGUGCAACUGGUGAAAGGGCAGAGGAUACAGCCCAAGCCGUCCAUUAUACUGGAGAUGGAAAAUGGGCUCAUUGUUAAGUUGAAGAAGCGAGAAAUGUAA
rnacentral:rRNA from 1 species